rfam:Schistosoma haematobium scaffold1913_12, whole genome shotgun sequence.
AGCCUUCUGAAUCCAUGCGGAGAUUUUGUCAGACACCAAACCAUCAGGACUGAUAAGACUCAUAAGAUAAGUGAAGCG